UCAACUUGAGAGUUUGAUCCUGGCUCAGAACGAACGCUGGCGGCAGGCCUAACACAUGCAAGUCGAGCGAGAUCUUCGGAUCUAGCGGCGGACGGGUGAGUAACGCGUGGGAACGUACCCUCUUCUGCGGGAUAGCCACUGGAAACGGUGAGUAAUACCGCAUACGCCCUUCGGGGGAAAGAUUUAUCGGAGGAGGAUCGGCCCGCGUUGGAUUAGGUAGUUGGUGGGGUAAUGGCCUACCAAGCC
rnacentral:rRNA from 1 species